rnacentral:lncRNA from 1 species
UUGAUAUGGUUGGUUUGGAAAUAGCCCAAACUUUAUAGCGCUUAUCUGAAUAUAAUGUGUUCACUUGAUUAUAUGAGAUAUUUUUUGUUAUUUGAUUUUUCACUUCAUUAUUUUGCUUCUAAAAGUCAGUAUAACAAGGUUUUUUUUUCCAAAUGUUUGUGAAAUAUGUUUUGAUUCAAUAUCCGAAAUUAUAUACUCUUUUCGUCCACUCACUUGCAACUCAUUCAAUAUUUACUCACAUUUCAUUUAAGUUGUCU